rnacentral:ncRNA from 1 species
UACUGGGGACGACCCCACCCUUCCCGGGAACUGAACGCGGGACGACCCGC